AAGGUUCCAACCUGAAAAUCUGGAGCAUAACCAACGCCUGUAUGAGCGAGUGAAUGAGAUAGCAGCGAAGAAGGGGUGCACCCCAUCACAGCUUGCAUUGGCUUGGGUCCAUCACCAAGGGAAUGAUGUCUGUCCCAUUCCUGGAACCACCAAAAUUGAAAACUUCAAUCAGAACGUUGGAGCUUUGUCCGUAAAAUUAACAGCAGAAGAGAUGGCUGAGCUAGAAUCCAUUGCUUCAGUAGAUACCGUGAAGGGAGACAGAUACGGUGGCGUUCUCGUUACCUACCAUGACUCUGAGACUCCCCCCUUGUCUUCAUGGAAACCUGAAUGAGGCUUAGACUACCAUAUUGAUACAAUCUUCAUGAUGAGGUAACACUUUGCAUUGUGUUUUAAAAUCACGAGUCUCUCUACUUUGUAUUCCGAGAAUACAUAUUCUGUCAGAAGUACAACGGGUCUUGUAGUGAUACAUUGUAGCUAUCUAAAUGUGUCAUGUUCAGAUUGUCUGUUCCAAGGUAAUUAAGCAAAAGUUUGUCAGUAAAUAAGGUGUUAUAUCAGAAGUAUCCUUGGUCUUCUGAUGAUUGCUGGCAAACUUGAUUGUAUGUUCCUGACUUGAUCAUGUUAAGAAAAAGAAAGUGUUUCUGUCUUUCUGAAAUGUUUUGAUCUCAACUAUGCUUCCUUCUCUUUUAUAAUACGAGGAAUCUCUCCCCCCAACAAAUUAAUAUUUGGUUUCAUUGGACAAAAACUUAAAGAAAAUAUGAGCAUAGAAAAGGAUGAAACGAAGACGUCUAGGUAAUUGCUCACUGUGCAUUCCAAAAUGAUCAAAUAAUUAGUUGCUUCCUUUGUCACUAAACAUUAUUAUUUAUUUUAUUUAUUUAUGUAUGGUUUUACCUGCACCAAUAGCCCAUUUACUUUGUGGGUGACCCAUCCAUGGGACCAAUCUAGAUCCCGUCGUCCCCACACCAUAAGCAAUAGGUUUUCAAUUAAUUAAUCCUAAUUUUCCUUAGAUUUUAGACGACCUUUGAUGAGUAACUUAAGGCUUUGGAACCACCGAUGGAUUUUGCUGGGAAAUGGACAAACAAAAACGAAAUUAACAAGAUAAAAGGAAUCCCAUUACCACCUUAAUUAUUUGUUUUCUGCUUAAUAUGGAGUCUCGCAAACCACUAAUUUACUUUUAAGUAAAUAUGUGUUUAGUUAAUUGUUUUCAAACUUAUUGGGAAAAUCUAAUAUAUUCGAUCUAAAGCUACUAAAGUACAUAACUAAAAGCAAAGCUCCAAAAAGUUAAAACAUUGUAAUUAUUAUUAUUGUUAUUUUUAUUAUUUUUAUGUGUGAAAUGAUGAAGCAACAUGCAUGAUGAGCAGCUCUCUCUUUUUUAGUUUUUGUUAUACUUCCCACUAAUUGAAGGUGGAUGAUCACUAGAUUCAUGUACUUGCUCACCGCAAUGAAGAAUAUAAUAAUUUGGCCAAAUAUUACUACCAACUAGCUAUUAAACCACCAAGCGGAUCAACCCCUUCUUAAGGGAAUGUAUGCAUUGGAUUAAUUCAUUACUCUUUGCAUAAGCUUUUAGGCUUAUGAAUUGCAUUAAUAUACUCACCCUGAUUAUCGUUUUGCAUAAUCCAGAGUAUAGGAUUAAGAUAAAGUAAAAAAAAAAUGAGCCAACUAUGUAUUCUUUACUGUAGCAGCUGCGCUUUAAGAUAAAACUUGAAGAGGGGAUUAAACAAUAUUUACUGUAGUCAAUAGAAUAAACCAUUGUGAUGAAUAUCAAAAAAUUAUUAAAUUAUUAAUGUCAUAAUCUAUCUAGUUCAGUUAUACGUGUGCAAAAUCUUUUUGUUUGAAUGGAUUCAUUAGCUAAAGCACCCAUGGGCAGACCCCAUUUUCUACUGAGCUAGCUACACUGGUUCAUGAACCCUGUCCACAAGAGUUCAAAAAGAGUUUCCCUGGCCGACAAGAAGUUGGCAUUUGCUUUGGUGACUAUCACUCAUUUCGCUUCUUUCUCACCUAUUAAAUUCUUCCCACUCAUUUAAACAAAUAGAUUAAUCUCGAUUAAUUUGUCUCCUUCUUUUGGUCUUUGGUAACGGUAAUAAUUAGAUUUAAUCUACAAGCAUCGCAUUUUCUCUAUUUUUAAUUUGUGGGACAGCAAUGCAAUGAAGUCACCACUCACCAUCCCCCAUGGAUUAGGAAAGCUGGUAUCUCUAUAAUUAAUAUAUAAAAUACGAGAUUAAUUGAAAAAGGGAUUGAGUUGAUCGCUUUGAUGGAUCCACCUUUAAAUAUUUAAACAUAAGUUGAUCUUAAACUAAUAAAAAAUUAUGCAAUUUUUAGUUGAACGACUUAGUCAAAUAAUCAUCGUAGAUUAUCGUGGAAUACUUUAUUUUGUACCCGAAAGUGAUUGCAUUAAGACCCGAUAGCUACCACCCAUGGCGACUCCGGGAUGUGUAGAAAGUCACUGUACGAUUGCAAUCUAGAACGCCAGCAUUGACUGGCCUCUCAUUAGUGCUUGGAUAAUAAAAAAAAAAGAGGUCAAGUUGUACAUGUCUGAGUUUAGACACGGUGGCGGCACCAUUUUCUUCUUCACCCUGGGACCACACUCUUGUCACGUGACACAAGUACCUAAUUGCUCAGCCAAAGCAGUUUUUUUUUUUAUAUAUAUAUUUUUUUAAUUUCAUAAGUCAUAUUACAUUGAAAAAGGGUGCAAUAAAAAAUAUUUGUUUUAAAUUAUAAUUUUAUAAAAUAUAUCUAUAAAAAAGUAGAGUUUUUCUUUCUUUUGUUUUUUAUUUUUUUUACUGUUUUCUUUCGUCUCUCUUUUUCUCCCUCUCUUUCUCGUUGGUCAGCGGCAGCCGGCAACGGUAGAGGCCCAGAUUUGCCCCAAGCUCGAUCUCUUUCCCCCGUCGAAUAGGUAACAUGGGUUAAUUUGGCUCCAAUCGUCAUCAAGGCAUCAAUAAGGCUAGAGCAGACCCUUUACUGUCAUCGGCUGGCCCCUAGCUGAAGGGAGAGAGAGAACAAAGGAGAGAAUGAAAAAGAAAAAUCACAUAAUUUAAUUUUUAUCCACAUUAAUUAUCAUGCCAACACUUGAUGAAAAUAUUGACAAAAGGACGUUCCUGUUUAACAGUAAAAAUAUGGGAAUUAGUAGUAAUUUACUUUUUAAAUUAUAAAGAUAAAAAUUAUAUGCAAUUCAAAUUUUGAGAACCUAUCUGAAUUACAUUAUUUUGGGAGGUUUUGUGGAUGAUACCGCCUUAUCUAAUUUACAAUAUUGUUUAGAGUCAUUUGUACCUGCGCUUUAAGGAAGUUCAUUUGUUCAAUCUAUUUGGGUAUAGUUAUUGGUAGUAUGAUUCUAGAUUAGUCCAAAAAAUCACUUUGUUCUUGUAUAGUUUUUUUCUCUAAUUAUUAUUUAGGUCCAUAGUUCUCCCACAUCUCUCAGUGAUUAAUCUCAUUUUUAGGUAGUGGUGGUAUUAGUAUUUUGGGUAGGUACAAUUGGGACAAAUCAUGUAUAUAAAUCUAAAGAAAUGGUCAGAUAUGUGUGGUAGCUUCUAUAAACCAUCAAAGUUUUUGGAAGGAAGCCAUGAAGGGCAUCUCAAUUAGUGCAACUGCAACAUAAUUUCCAUUAUCAAGGUUAAGGCUCUAGGCAAAUAAAGGAAUUAUCAAGGUGUUUUAGGGGAAUGGAGAUGAAUCUACUAUCCUCGUUAUCAGUGACAGAAUUAGGAUUCGUGUUUGAGGGGUAAAGACAAUGUCCAUAAAAUAGUCACACCCAUAGUUUAGUGUUUAACAAAAACAUAAAAUAAUUUAGAUGGAAAAAAUUCAUAUAAAAAUUAUAUAAAUAACUCCAAUUACAUGUUAAGUACAAAAUAAAGAUAUUUUUUUAUAACUAUUGCAUGUUAAAAUUGGAUAUUUUUAAUUGAGCUUGACAAUAUUUUCAUAGAGUUGAAGGCAUUAUUGAAUUAAUAUCAAAAUCUUGAAUUAUUCGAAUUUUUAAUAAAAUCAUUUAAAAUUUUAUUACGAGUCUCGUUCUUAACAAGUUUUAUAAUUAAUAUUAUACACUUUGAUGUUAUAUUGAAAACUAGAAGAGUCUACAUCAAUCUGUCAAUAAGAAAUUAAACUUUUGAUAUUCUCGUAUUCUUUAACAUUUGACACAAUUCAAAAAGUAUAAAUACAUUUUUCAAAGCUUGAUUAUGAAGAAUGUCAAACUUGAAUAGAUCCAAUUGAUAGCUCAAACACAUAUUAUCAUAUUCAGUAAAGUUACCAAGAUAAUAUUUAAUUACAAAGUUACAAAUACUUUCAACAUCAAACAAUUUGAAAUCAUUAUAAGAGUCCAAGGAUAUGUCAAGAGUGAGCAACUCCACCAUAUUCUUAUAAAUCUAAAAUCUAAUUCUUACAAGAGUGAGUUAAUAGCAGAAAAAAACAACUCAACUCAAUAAUGGUGUUCAAUUGUGCUAUGAUCCUUUUAAAGACGGCUUUUACCUUUAUAUCUAACUCCAUGUCAAAAAUCUUAAUUUCGUAUUCUCACAAAACUUCUUUACUGACACAAACAAAGGUUUCAUUCAUUUCUCCCAAUUGUUAGAGACGUUUUUUAAUAACAAUACUAAACGAAUUACAUUUAAUAUGUCUUGAGAUUUGAGUUGUAAAGCUUUUGAAAAGUCAUUUGUUAUCUCCAAUAACUUUAUCAUAAGAUGCAAGAUAAAUAUAAAUUUAAAUGACAUAAUGAUAUGUUAUAAAAAUUAUAAAAUAAAAGAAAAAAAUAUAAAAUUAUUAUAGAAAUAAAAUUCUAAAAUUCUAAAAAACUAAAAAUAGGUUAUAAAAGUAUUAUAAAGAUAAAAUUUUAAAAUUUUAAAAAAUAAGAGUUGCUAUAAAACCACCCUCCCCUACACCUCUAUUUACGGAGGUGGUGAGGGUCGGAAGUAAAAGCAGUGGGCGUUGUGGGAAGACUUGGCGUGCACCUUGGGACAAGCGUUGUAAGUGUGGGUACAAGACUGCAUCUACCAAGCGCAGAAAGUAGUGCUUGAUCCAUUUGGCAUUUAGUCUCUUUUAUGCAAUUUGAACAAUUUAAUGUUGAUAUUAGACAUAUAAGUUCCACAAUUAAUUAGUUAAUGUUUUAAUUUUCUAAUGACAUGUCAUAAGUUUUAUAUCUAUUUGAUCUUUCUAUUUACUAUUCAUCGAUCUUUUCCGAUGGAAUUGGGUGUCUGAUUAAAUUUGUACAAGGACUUUGCUUCCAUUGGCAUCUAAUAUCUCAAGACUCAGCUGGGUGCUCAUCCUUCUACCAGAAUUAUCAUUAAAAUCAAAAUCACAAAAACAAUUUGAUGCAACCUCACCACUCAUUUAUAGGCAGCUUAUUGGGUACUUAAGUAUCUUAAAAAGGCACCGGGAUAAAGUAUUUUACUAGCUUCUGAUUCUGAUGUUCAACUAAAGGUUUUUAUUGAUAAUGAUUGGGCUAGAUGCUUAGAUUCCAGACGUUCUGUUACUGGUUUUGGAGUUUUUCUUAGUAAAUCUCUCUUUAAUUGGAAAUUUAAAAAGCAAUCAGUUGUUGCUUGUAGUUCAAUAGAGGCUGAAUAUCGUGCUAUGGCUGCUGCUUGUUGUGAAGCUAUAUGGCUUUUGUCUCUACUCAAAUAUUUUGGUUUUUCUCAUAUUGCUUUAGUUCAUUAUUUUUUGAUAACCAGUUUGCUAUUCACAUUUGUAAAAAUCCUAUAUUUCAUGAGAGGACUAAGCAUACUGAACUGCACUGUCAUUUUAUUCGAGAUAAAGUUCUUGAAGGAGUUAUUUGUCCUUAGCAUGUUUUUACUAAGGAUCAAUUGGCAGACAUUUUUACUAAGGAUCAAUUGGUAGACAUUUUUACUAAGGCGCUACCACUUGCACAAUUCACCUAUCUGUUAGGCAAGAUGAGCAUAGAUAAUAUCCAUGCUUCUCUUGAGGGGGGGUGUUAGAUAUUAUAUUUUGACAUGUGCAAUGGUAUAUUUGUAAAUAUUCUAACUGUUUAAGGUUAUUAUUAUAUUUUUGAUUUUACAUGAAGACUUGACUAUAAAAAAUCUGUUGUACUGACAAUGUGAAGUUGAAAAAAAAGACAAUACAAUUAGAGCUUUAUCCAUCUCUUAACUUUUUCUAGAUUUUUUUUCAGAUUCUUCGUCUCUUUCUCAAUAAUCGACAAAACUUUCUCUAGAUUUUUUUCAGAUUCUUCGUCUCUUCCUCAAUAAUCAACAGGAUUGAGGGGACGAAUUUGGUUUGGUGGAGCAACUAAGCUUGGCGGUGGUGGGUAGGUGCUUAAUCCAAGUGUUGCCAAAUGUUUUGCCUGAUUACCCGAGGCUUUGAAGUUAACGAACAAAUAGGUGGAAAAAUCCUUUAGGUAGAAAUAUGUAAAGAAAAGCAGAGUCUUAUCCACCAUUCUAAACAAACAAAACGAUUGCUCCAAAACACAACACAACAAUUUAAUUAAGUUUGUAAAAUUAAAGUGACAAUCCAAAGCCACUGGAGUUUAAUACUUCAUCUGGCAUCUAGAUGGUUUCUCUUGUAACCAAAAAAAAAAUGCAGAAUCGGCUCAUCCAAUAAGAAGGAGAGAGUUUGAAAGUUGAAGGUGAUUUUUUUUUUAAUAUUUUUGACUUUUUAAUUUUUUGGAUAUUUUAAUAAUUUUAUAAAAUUCAUUAGUGAUGUUUAAAAUUUUGAAACUAAGUGUAUUUUUAAUACUAUUAGAUUUAAAGUGAAUUAUGAUAAAAAGUUAGGUAAUGAGAUAGGAUUGUCCUUUGAAAAAAACACCUAGGGAACAUUUUGUCUCCAUUUAAAAUCAUUACUAAAAGAAAUUUUGAAAGGGACAAAAAGAGCAUCACAAUUUACAUCACUCAAGUGGAACACUUUACCUUAAUGUGAUGAAAUUUAUGAAGUGAUGUGGCAAUCUUUGGAAGGACUUUCAACCAAUUUUACUCGAAAGUUGGUGGUAGACCUUGAAUCUGAAUCGGAUUAGAAAGCUUUCAAGAUAUAUAGAGGGGGCUGUCUCUCGACCAAUCUUCAGAUAAACAGUGAUGGAAAGCACGCCCCCUCCCGCUUUAGCUCCAGUCAUCUCUAGCAGACCGAAACUACUUGCAUGGAUGGCCUUUUUUUUUUUUUUUUUCCACAUUUCUUGGAUGAGGAAAAUUAUGACUUAAUUCAUAAAUUUCACAACGUGAAUUCCAAAUUAAUUAGUUCCAUUUGCAGAAAAGAAUGCCUUGCUGCUGAUUGUCUUUUUGUUUGACGAAACAAUCGUUGGAAUUAAUUUUCAUUUGUCACAGUAACUACCCAAAGUUCCAACCUGAAAAUCUCAAGCAUAACAAACGCCUCUAUGAGCAAGUUAGUAAGAGAGCAGCAAGAAAGGAAUGCCAACCCAUCGCAGCUUGUAUUGGCCUGUGUCCAUCACCAAGGGAAUGAUGUCCGUCCCAUUCCUAGAACCACAGAAAUUGAAAACUUUAAUCGGAAUAUUGCAGCUUUGGCCUUACAAUUUAUACGUGAAGAGAUAGAGCUAGAAUCCAUUGCUUCAACAGAUGCCGCGAAGGGAGGCAGAUAUAUUAGAACCACUGCUACCUACCGCAAAUCUGAAACUCCUCCCUUGUCUUUACGGAAACCUGCGUGAGGAUUGACGGCCUUCCAUUCACCACAUUGAUACAAUUUUCACAAUGAGCAGCAUCAUGUGCUUUAAAGUUUUGAUGAGUACUCUGCUUUAUAUUCAGAAAAUAAAGUGUUAUAUUUACAAGUACCCUAGGUCUUGUAGUGAUAGAUCGCAAACUUGAUUGUAGGUAUCUACGUUUGUCAUGUUGACGUCGUCCGCUCCAAGGUCAGUAAGCAAAAGUUUAUGAGACACGUGGAAAUGGGGGUUGCAUACAUGAUUUUACUUUUAAACAAAAUAAUUAUAGUCAAAAGAUCUAUCAAGUCUUUAUAUUUUUUAAUUUUAUUUAAUUUAAUCUUUAUACUCAAAAUCGAAAUAAUUUAAUCUAUUGAUUUUGAGAAUUGUGUUAAUUUAAUUUGUUUUCCUAACAGCUUCCAAUUUUACCGUUAAAAGAUGACAUCAGCACCAACGUGUCACAUAUUGAUAACGUGGCAUUGAGAUGAUGACAUGGCAUGAUGAUGUGUUAGAUUAAAAAAAUUUUUUACCAUUUCAUAAGGACUCAAUUGAACAAAAAUAUAUAAUAUAAGGAUUAAAUUAAAUAAAAUUGAGAUAUUGAAGGACUAAAUUAAAAGAAUAUUUAAAUAGAUUAUUGAUAUGCUUGUUAAUAAGCUAAAUAUUUAAGUGUAAAAGAUUAUGGUGUUAAUAUAUAUAUAUAUAUAUAUAUAUAUUUACUUGAUUAUUUGAUUCUAAAAUAUGUAAAUUAAUUUAUUUUUUUUACAAAAAUUAAGUUUGAAUUCUCCUUCUAAAAAAANUUAAGUUAAAAUAAAUAAUAUAAAAUGACUAAAUAUGUUGAUUUAGUUACAACUUUCAUAAUUUACAAAUACACAUUUUUUUUAAAAUUAUUCAACUUUUACCCAAUUUACCUUUUAUUUAAAUUUACUCAAAUUAGCAAAAUAUGUUAAUUUAGUUACUACUUUCACAAUUUACAAAUACACAUUAUUCAACUCUUACCCAAUUUACCUUUUAUUUAAAUUUUCUCAAAAUUUUUUAUAAAACGAUUUUAUUUAAAUUCAAAUACCAUAAUCAAAUUCUGUUAAAUUUAAAUUUAUAUUAUUAAUUUAGAUCUACAAAAAAUUUAUUAAUAAAAUAAAAUUAUACAAAUAUUUACAGUUAUAUUAACUUUAUCAAUUAUAAAUGCAGUCUUUAAUAUAUGAAAUUUUAACUUAAAAAAUAUAACUUGAAAUAUUUACAAAAUAAAAACAUAAUAAAUGAAUAAAUAAAUAAUUGAACAGAUAGAACUUAGAUUCUAUGGUUGUAAUAAGAGGUUUGUCAUGUCCAAAUUAAGCAAAUCAGAAUGAGAAAUUAUUUUUAUCAUCAUUGUUAAUUUCAUAUCUGCGUUCUUCAUUUUUUUAAAAGAAAAAACUAAAUCAACAUAUUUUGCUAAUUUGACUUUAGCUCAAGCUAAAAACUAAGUUAAAUAAAAUUCAAAUUUUUAUGCUAUUACAAAUAGAAGAAAAAAGAAUUUAUUUAGUCAUUUUAUAUUAUUUUAUUUUAACGUAGUACAAGUUAUUUAUCUAAAUUUGACUUCAAGUAUAAAAUUUUUUCAAAUUUUUUUUAUGGAAGGAGAAUUCAAACUUAAUUUUUGUAAAAAAGAUAAAUAAAUUUAUAUAUUUGAGAAUCAAAUAAUCAAGUAAGAAAAUAUUUAUAUAUUUUUUUAAUACCAUAAAUCUUUUACACUUAAAUAUUUGGCUUAUUAAUAAAUAUAUCAAUAAUCUACUUAAAGAUUUAUAUUUAUUAAUUUAGUCCAUCCACAUCUCAAUUUUAUUCAAUUUAGUCCUUAUGCUAUAUAUUUUUAUUCAAUUUAAUCUCUAUGACUUAGUAAAAUUUUUUAAAAAAUUUUUUUAAUCUACCACGUGAUAUUAACAUGUCAACAUAUCAGUACCACGUCAACACUACCACGUCAUAAUAUAAUACCACGUGACAUGCGACGUCAUUAUUUUAACGUCAUGUCAUCAAAAUGUGACACAUUAACGCUGACAUCAGUAAUUAUGUCAGCACUGAUAUCAUCAUUUAACGGUAAAAUUAGAUGUUAUUAGAAAAAUAGACUAAAUUGAUGUAAUUUUCAAAAUUAAAAUCCUAAAUUAUUUCGAUUUUGAGUAUAAAGAUUAAAUUGAAUAAAAUUAAAAAAUUACAAACGUUGAAUAAAUCUUUUAACCAAAUAAUUAUAUCAAAAUGGAUAUUAUAUUUUAAUUAUUUGUUUAUUUUUAAUCAUUUUUUUAAAUGCAUUAUUGAUUAUUAUUUUCUUUUUUAAAACGCAAAAUUAUAUCCACCCAUCACCCACUUGAUGCCAUUGUAAGUCUUUAGCCUUGUCAGCCCAAGAUUUUGAUGGCAUAGAAACUGGUGUGAGAAAGGAACUAUACAAUUACAAAAAAAUCUCUGCACAAAAGGCGACACACCACAAGGACCACUUGAAACGAAUGUAUGAACAAAACUAUUGAUCAUUAUUGAUCUGCCUUUUAUCAUUUCCUUUUCCAUUGUCAUAAAAACAAUAACCAAACAAAUCCAUAUUCUUAAUCAGGGAGCAAAGUAUACUGUUGUGGAUUCCUUGCCCUUUCCGCUGACUACUUCAACAGAUAACACUGAACCGCGACUUCCUCGACACAACACUGACCGCUGUCUGCAGCAACUUUAGCUAGCUAUUCACUCUCACCAGUAAAACAUGGCAACUGCAAGAGUUGGGAGGAUCAAGUUGGGAUCUCAAGGCCUGGAAGUGUCAGCUCAAGGCCUGGGCUGCAUGGGGAUGUCAGCUUUCUAUGGCCCUCCGAAGCCUGAAGCUGACAUGAUCGCUCUCAUCCACCAUGCAAUCAACUCUGGGGUUACCCUUCUUGACACCUCUGAUGUUUAUGGUCCCCACACCAAUGAAAUUCUCCUUGGCAAGGCCUUGAAAGAUGGUUUCAGAGACAAAGUUGAAUUGGCAACUAAGUUUGGUUUAGACUACAGUGAAGGCAAGAACGAAAUCCGUGGUGACCCUGCUUACGUGAGGGCGGCCUGUGAAGGUAGCUUGAAGCGUCUUGGUGUGGUUUGUGUUGAUCUUUACUAUCAGCAUCGGAUUGAUACCAGAGUUCCCAUUGAAUUCACGGUUUGUUUUUGUUUGGGCUUUCGGUCCCCUGCUUUUUACUUUGUCAUGAUCUAGUUAAGAAAUGAGAAUUCUUCAUCGUUUUAUUGAUUGUUGCUUUUCUUUUUUUACUCAGAUGGGUGAACUUAAGAAGCUAGUUGAAGAAGGUAAAGUAAAGUACAUAGGUCUAUCUGAGGCUUCUGCUUCGACAAUUAGGAGGGCGCAUGCUGUUCACCCAAUAACUGCUGUGCAGUUGGAGUGGUCUUUGUGGUCUAGAGAUGUUGAGGCCCACAUCAUUCCUACUUGCAGGUUACUUAUCCACAAGACUGACAAAUUUUUUAAAAAUUAGUGAUUUAGAAACCUUAUUCUAAUGUGAUUCCUUUUAAUUUCUUAGAGAACUUGGAAUUGGGAUUGUUGCUUACAGUCCUCUGGGGAGAGGAUUCUUUUCAUCAGGGCCUAAAAUUGUGGAAACUUUGUCCAAUGAUGACUUCAGAAAGGUUUGUAGCUAUUCUUCACAAUUGGAUAUACGUUCAUAACAAGUACUAAUUAUUUGUUACUUUUUGGCAUAUCAAAAUUUUAUGGUAUGAUAGAUUUUUUUGAUCAUGAUAUGUGAAUCAGAGAAAAUCCACAUCAAUACUUGCACAAGAAAGUUUAGAAGUCUACAGACGUAACAAGAAUUCUUUUAUAUCUGACAGCCAGAUUUUUUUAAGUGUGUAAGUUGUACUGCAACAUUCCCCUUUUUGUUAGCCAACUUCGUAAAGACCUCCCGAUUUUAGUCUUGGGUGCCUCAAGGCCAGCAAUCUUGUUCUUUCUAAUUUAGUGGGACUUUCAUGUGAAUUGGGUUUAUUUACAUGUCGGUGUGUACUGUCUAAGUGUAUAUUCUCCAACUGUGCACUUGGGUAAGGGUAGACUAGUUAAGAAUCCAAAUUUGAGUAUGUUCAUAACCUGUUCCCCUUCUCUUUCAAAACUUAUUUUCAAAAUGCAAAAACAUGUUGGGUAGUAACCUUCUUUAGCUUCUUCAUAAUAACAGAGGGCUAACUAUACCUUUAUGUCGUAGUUUGCCUCUAAAAUGCCCCUUUCCCUUGGGUUAUGCAAGUGUGUCAUGUGAUCCAUUGAUUAAAUGUUUUGAAUCGACGAACUUGUAUUACUUACAGAAAUUGAUGGUCUGUGGCUGAUUGUCUUUAUCUUUUAUGACACAAUCAUUUGAAAUGAAUAUUGAAUUGUGACAGUCACAACCAAGGUUCCAACCUGAAAAUCUGGCGCAUAACAAACGCCUGUAUGAGCGAGUUAACGAGAUAGCAGUGAAGAAGGGGUGCACCCCAUCACAGCUUGCGUUGGCUUGGGUCCAUCACCAAGGGAAUGAUGUCUGUCCCAUUCCCGGAACCACCAAAAUCGAAAACUUCAAUCAGAACAUUGGAGCUUUGUCCGUGAAAUUAACAGCUGAAGAGAUGGCUGAGCUAGAAUCCAUUGCUUCAGUAGAUACCGUGAAGGGAGAUAGAUAUGGUGAAGGUAUCUCUACUUACCAUGACUCUGAGACUCCUCCCUUGUCUUCAUGGAAACCUGAAUGAGGCUUAUGCUACCAUAUUGAUUGACGAGUGUUUCUACUUUGUAUUUCGAGAAUAAAUGUUCCGUUAGAAUUAUAAUCAUAGAUUGCAAACUUGGUAUGUGGUAGCUAUCUAAGUUUGUCAUGGUUGAGAUUGUCUAUUCUAAGGUAAUUAAGCAAAUGUUUCAAUACAUUUUAUAUUAUAUGUAUAUAUAUAUAUAUAUAAUAUUAUUGUGCUUGCUUUUUAGCCAUUCUCCUAUAAGUUUGUCAAUCAUUUUAAUGCAAUAUAUUAUUGUUUGGUUAUUA
rnacentral:lncRNA from 1 species